rnacentral:rRNA from 1 species
UACGUAGGGGGGCAAGCGUUGUCCGGAAUCAUUGGGCGUAAAGAGCGUGUAGGCGGCCCGGUAAGUCCGCUGUGAAAGUCCAGGCUCAACCCUGGGAUGCCGGUGGAUACUGUCGGGCUCGAGUCCGGAAGAGGAGUGUGGAAUUCCUGGUGUAGCGGUGAAAUGCGCAGAUAUCAGGAGGAACACCAAUGGCGAAGGCAGCACUCUGGGACGUGACUGACGCUGAGACGCGAAGCGUGGGAGCAA